AGUCCAUGAUGCGGGCAUUGUCUAAGUAUAUUACUAAAUCUAUCCCAUGCUUUAAAUAAUGAUUCAUAGUCUGACUGCCUGAUGCUUGCUAUCAUAUUUCUCAUAUG